UCGGGAAUUUUGGGCAAUGGGCGAAAGCCUGACCCAGCAACGCCGCGUGAAGGAUGAAGUAUUUCGGUAUGUAAACUUCGAAAGAAUAGGAAGAAUAAAUGACGGUACUAUUUAUAAGGACCGGCUAACUUCGUGCCAGCAGCCGCGGCAAUACGAGGGGUCCUAGCGUUGUUCGGAAUCAUUGGGCGUAAAGGGUGUGUAGGUGGCUAAGUAAGUCAGGUGUGAAAGCCCCGGGCUCAACCCGGGAAGUGCAUCUGAUACUGCGUAGCUUGAGUACCGAAGAGGAUAGUGGAAUUCCAGGUGUAGUGGUGAAAUACGUAGAUAUCUGGAGGAACACCGGUGGCGAAGGCGGCUAUCUGGUCGAGUACUGACACUGAGACACGAAAGCAUGGGGAUCAAACAGGAUUAGAUACCCCCGUAGUCCCUGAGCGGGCUGGCAAGGCGCAU
rnacentral:rRNA from 1 species